rnacentral:rRNA from 1 species
GGCCAGACUCCUACGGGAGGCAGCAGUGGGGAAUAUUGCACAAUGGAGGGAACUCUGAUGCAGCGACGCCGCGUGAGUGAAGAAGUAAUUCGUUAUGUAAAGCUCUAUCAGCAGGGAAGAAAGUGACGGUACCUGAAAAAGAAGCCCCGGCUAACUACGUGCCAGCAGCCGCGGUAAUACGUAGGGGGCAAGCGUUAUCCGGAUUUACUGGGUGUAAAGGGAGCGUAGACGGCAGCGCAAGUCUGAAGUGAAAUGCCGGGGCUUAACCCCGGAACUGCUUUGGAAACUGUGCAGCUAGAGUGCAGGAGAGGUAAGUGGAAUUCCUAGUGUAGCGGUGAAAUGCGUAGAUAUUAGGAGGAACACCAGUGGCGAAGGCGGCUUACUGGACUGUAACUGACGUUGAGGCUCGAAAGCGUGGGGAGCAAACAGGAUUAGAUACCCUCGUAGAA